rnacentral:rRNA from 1 species
GACGAACGCUGGCGGCGUGGAUUAGGCAUGCAAGUCGAACGGUAUCAUCCUUUCGGGGGUGAGAGAGUGGCGAACUGGUGAGUAACACGUAGGUUAUCUACCCUCAAGACGGGGACAACCCAGGGAAACUUGGGCUAAUACCGGAUGUGAGCAACUUUUAGUUGUUUGAAAGGUGGCGUAAGCUGUCGCUUGGGGAUGAGCCUGCGUCCUAUUAGUUAGUUGGUGAGGUAACGGCUCACCUAGGCAAUGAUAGGUAGGCGGCCUUAACGGGUGGUCGCCCACACUGGGAUUGAGAUACGGCCCAGACUCCUACGGGAGGCAGCAGUCGAGAAUAGUCUACAAUGGUCGGAAGACUGAUAGUGCGACGCCGCGUGAACGAUGAAUCCCUUCGGGGUGUAAAGUUCUUUUAUAUGUGAGCAGUGCUUCUUAUAUUAACAGUAUGGGGAAGAGAUAUUAGCAUAUGAAUAAGCAAAGGCUAAACUCCGUGCCAGCAGCCGCGGUAAUA